AUCACAGAGAAGAGACCGGGAAGGUGGGGAGGGAGGAAGGAAAGAGUAAGCAGGUGGAUAAGGGGAGAAGAGGACCAAGGAGCCCAGGGUCCAGUCCUCAGCCAAUGGGGCCCAACUCUUCUUUAAGACAAUUCGCCUAAGCAAAGCAGGCUGCAAACAAGGACCAAGAAGCAACCUAGGAAGGUGGCAACUUCCUCUGAGACUCCACCAUGAGGACAAGAAUGGGUUUGGGUGCUGUGUGCUUACCAUGCCCCAAGGCCUAGCAGGAGCUCCCCACACACAGACCCAAGGAUACUGGAGCCAAUGGACCAUCCUGAAGAGGGAUCCCGUGGCCGGGAUGAGCAGGAGGCAGGACCUGCAGUUUCAACACUUCAGCCUACCUGCUUCCAUUGCUACCCAUGCUCUGCUCGCCGCCGGCGGGGGAUCUCAGAUCUGGCAGCCACACUGUUUUAUUUUGUAUGUCCCCUGGCCUUAGCCUUCAGCAGGGGCCCCAGCAGGCGGGACAUAAAUUUCCCACCACCCAGAAGAGACCCAUUAGCAAAGUCAUGCAAAUGCUAAGCGGUUCCCAGCGCAGUCCCAGACCGGAGCUCGCCUUUCCUCUGACAUUUGUAAAGUUCACGUUUUCAAAAUAAAGCCACGUGAAAGCA